UAUUUGAUUUGCAGUCUUCAUCCAAACACAACCCACGUUGCCCCUUGAAUUGAGCCGAACGCCAUUAGCUAUGGCUUCUGCUGAAGGAGGAGACAAGUACCGGUCGUUCCUGCACGGCGAUGGCGAGAAGAACACCGUGUGGAGGCAUGGAGCCCCUCCCAACUACGACCUGGUGAACAAGCUCUUCGAGGAAGAGAGGACCAAGGAAUGGCCGGAGGGGUCUCUGGAAGAGAAGGUGCAGCGCCUGCUCAAAAGCUGGGAGAUGGAGAUGGUCCACAAGGUGCGCCCCGAGGACCAGAAGAGCGUCCACCCUAGGAAUUACUCCGCGAGCACCAACGGGCUGAAGCCUCUGACGCGGGAGGAGGUGACCGCCAUCGGCGGCUACAACGCGUUCCUGGCGACCAAGCUGCCGCCGGAGCACCGCAUCUACGACCCGGACAAGGAGACGGUCGACUCCGGCAUGUCGACGUUCCUCACGGCGUUCCCCAGGGGCUUCGCCAUCGAGGUGCUGGACGUGUACAGCGGCCCGCCGAGGGUCGCCUUCAAGUUCCGGCACUGGGGUUACAUGGAGGGGCCGUUCAAGGGCCACCCCCCUCACGGCCACCGCGUCGAGUUCUUUGGCGUCUGCAUUUUCCACGUUGACGACGACACGAGGGUGGAGAAGGCCGAGUACUUCUACGAGCGUGGCAACUUCCUCGCGAGCUUCUUGAUAUCCUAAAUCGGCUUCAAAUUGACCAAGUCCACCAAAUCGAUCCCCCUCAUCCCACUCUCGUCCUCCGUUUCUCGCGUUUGAGUUGUCGCUUUCAUCCACUUUUGCUCCCUGUCCACGCCGCUAUCCUUGUCCGGCAUCGUAGAUGUCGACACCGAGCACCCCGUCCCCCACCGCCUCCAUGUGGGGGUACCGACCAUCGUCUCUUGCAAGGCGGAGAACAUCGCUCGAACAGAUUGGCGCAACCGGCAGCGCGUAGGGAAGUUACGAAGAUGGUAGCUGCGGAGAGGGGAGUGGCGGAGAAGGCUAGAGACAUGGAUAUAUGUAUGUCUAGUCUGGCAACCGCCUCCGUGUCGUCCGCCGUGAAAUAACAAGGCGCCAAACUCUGUUCCACCACCCAAAUGGGCCAUCCCGGAUGGCUGGACGGAAGACGUCGCUGCCGCGGAGACAAUGUAGGAGUCGCCGCAAUUCCAAAGGUUGCGGACAACAUUGUGAAACGUCGGCGCCGUGCAGGCCCACCUGUUAUUCAACGAUAUGCCCGACCAAGACCAGGAUCGGGAGGCUCGUCGCCAGGGUCACCCUCCAGAGCGAUGAUGUCGAGCUCGUCGCCGUCAACGACCCCUUCAUCACCACCGGGUACAUGGUAUGCCCCUCGAUCUGCAGUUUUCACCCGCUCCGAUAGCUAGAUCUGGUGGUCUGAAAGGUUUUAGAGUGGUUUUACCUGUGAUUUAUUCUGUUAGCAUACCUGAUGCUUGUGUUGUUCUGCCAGCAUUCUAUGAGGUAUAAGAGUUCGCCUGAUUUUGGAGUGGUCUCUAACUUGUUAAGAGUUCAGGCCUGAUUUUGCUAGUAGUAUUAGUCGGCUUGGAAUUGAUGGUGUUAGAUAGCACUCCAGUGUUACCUGACUUUGAAAUAGGUAGAUGGCGGCUUGGAUUGAUUUAUUCCUUGCCUGUUGGACGAACUGAGAUGUUCUGCAGCAAGCUGCAUUUGGUGGUGCAGUGCACACACUGAAGGGCUGGCGUGGCAUUCCCGGGCUUACCAAAAUAGAGUUCAGUGGUGAACUACCAAUGGAAAUUUCAGUAGUAAAAGCUAGGACUCUAAAUUUCAAAUUUCCAUAGUACAUCAGUAGGAACUUGGGUUCUGUAUGUUCAGAUAGCUAUUAUGCAAAUGUGCACCCUUAUUUCAAAUAUUUCCGGACGUAUGGAGUGGGUGCCGGCGGCGCCUUGUCCCAGCUGAUGCAACUCUCUUUUUGAGUCGCUCGACUCGUAUAUAUCGACUAGUCCAUCCACGGCUCGACUCGUAACUUCUAUUUCUAGCGGCCUGUAUAUGUAUGGUCCUGAUUAAUGUCACUCCAAUUAAGGAAGCCUUAUAGUACAUAUGUUUGCACUGAACAAGUGUAUUUAUGGUUCAGAAUGGAAAACAAUCAAACAAGUUAUUGUUUUCCUCCUUAGCAUGCAUCUAGUCUUUGGGGAAUAUUUGUUCUGAAGUCAUUACUGCACUAUAUUUAGCUAUGCCAUCCCAAUGCUUGAGUCCUGAUAACAUCCAAGAACAGUAUCUGGGACUGGCUUGCAUUUAUGCUUCUUAAAAUGGAAAACUGUGCUACUUAACUUUUUACCUGAUGUGACUAGCUUCCUACUUAUCAGUUUUUGCCUUGUUAAUAACUAGAAAACCUUUAUGCUAGUAUAUAGUAGGAUUAUUAAUUAGCUCUUGUUAGUUGGUAUUGUUGUUGUACAAGCGGGGGCCUCUCUCCUAGAGAUAUAAUUCUAGGUGCAGGUUCAUCAUAGUUUUAGUGCAAAUAUUUGCAUCAGAUGGAUGCAUGGAGUGUUCCUUUCUUCCUUAUAAAGCUAGCCUACUAUAUUGAAAUUGACACACUUUUGCAUGCA